UCUGGUUCAGCCUUUUGAGUCUGGGGUGAAUGAGUCACAGUGGGAAAGUGGAUGAUGCACAUCAGGGGCUGUUAUUUUUUUGGCUGCUGAGUACCAUUAUUAUGGUGAUAUGUUCAGUUGGUGUUCAGGGAGGGUUAGAACCUCUACUGUGAGAGCUUGCUGAAUGCUUUUCAGGGCUGCUUAUCCCCGUUUGGUGUCUACCUCUUUCCCAGCUCUUACUUGUGGCUCCAAGCUAUAGUUUUCAGCAGCAGGCUGUUAAAACUGUCCAGGCAGAUGCGUUAAGCUUGGGUUUAUGUCUAACCCUAGCCUUGUGAAGACCUCUCCUGCGAGAACAGAUGGAUGAGGCAAUUUGUUUCAGUAGCCAUGAAGGUGGCUGAAGCAAACACUUUCGAGUGCUUAAAACUUGGAUGGCUAUUAGAGACACUGACAUCAUUUAGGUGCAUUUUCAGUCAUCCUGACUUUUGUCUUGCCACAGGAUUUAGAUGACUCUGGAAGAAAGAGUGAGGCUGACAACUCUGGGCAACUCACUUAAAUCCAAUUCACACAUAAGUUAAGAUAUUACCCUGUGAUGUCACUGGUAUUCUUUGAAAUGAAGGGUCACCACCACCACCACCAAUUGAUGGAACAUAUUUUUUAUUGACUGAAUCAUCCUUUUAUCUUCUUAAAUCUAGCUUUGUUUUAAACUGCCCUUGCAGCUGGCUAAUAUUUUCUUGUAGAUUCCAGAUGAUCAGUUUUUCAGGAGGAAGCUCAAAAAUUAUCUAUUUAAUCCACUCAUUUUGUAGGUGAGGAAAAUGAAGCCCAGAGAAUACAUAUAGAUGACUAGCUCCCCUGCUAAGACUUCAAGUGUCUUGCCUCUAAAUCCAAUGCUCUAUGUUCUUACCUCUGCAUGAUAAUAUAGAGGGUCAUUAGCAAUAGGAAGCAAUUAAAGGUUGCUGUUGCCUCUGGUUAAACCUAGGAAGAAACUUAUACUGUUCUACUCAUUGAAUUAUUCAUAUUCUUAGAUAUCACAAUUAAAAAAGAACCAGUAGAAGAAUUAGUAGAAGAGGAGAUCAGCAGUGGCAAACCUGCAAUGGGAAAAGCUAUAAUGCAGUUUUCCUGGUUUUGCAAUGUCCAAGGAUACAAUUGGAGGAACUUCUUUUGUUUUAAAAAACAUGAUAAACAAGUAAAGAAUGUGCGCAAGCAGGAAGAAACUGACCUAAAAGUAAAUUUUCAUUAUGUGAAAUUUGUCAUAAAGAUUUAUGUGUGUAUCUCCAUUUUAAUUACUAGGGAAUGAGCUUUUAACAUAAUCUCUAAGACCCUUUCGCAGUUUUCACUGUCAAGGGUUAUAUUAACAUAGGCCAAUCUAAGCUUUUAAAUAUUGUCUCUCUUGAUCUCUAGCUAUUUGAUGACGCCUCUGCUUCUUUUAUACCCCAAAGCUGCUGGUGUCUGACUGGACAGAAACUCAAGUUGGCCAUUGGUUAAAGAGUAUUGGAAUGAAAAAAUAUAUCCUGAAAUUUGAUUAUAAAAGAAUAAGAGGUCAAGAACUUCUUGAAUUAGACAAUGAUGCAUUAAAAUGCAUUGGAAUCACUAAGAAGAGAGAUCGCAAGAAAUUCCUUAAGGGAAUUAAAUUCAACAGACCGAAAAAAAUUAAUACAAUCUAACAAUUAAAUAUAUCAAAAAGAUAAUUCUGGAAGAUACAGCAAAAAUGAGAAAAAUAUAAUUACAUGAUAUUUACCUUUAAUCUACUACGUCAACAUAUUAUUGAAACCUUCUGAUUCUUCUGCCAUGAAUCUAGCACACAUUUACUGAGGAGCAGUGAUGGAUGGAAUGACCAUAUAAGCCAAGAGAUUUUGGUGGACCACUGAUCAAGGUGUUCCAAAGAUGAUCAUUCAUUCACUCAUUUCUGCCUUAGCCUGAAAAAGAGCAUCCUGUUUGUUGCACUCUGGAUUCCUUUUUUAUCUUUGGUCCUAGGCUUUUCAGCCUUUGUCUACCAAUUCUUAUGUUGUGUAUACUUUAGAGAAUAAUUACCAUGAUGUAUAUCCCCAAUUAAUUCACUAUGCAAUUUUGAAAAUAAAAACUCUGUCUGCUCUU